CAAGAGCGUAUGUAAAAGUUGUUGCAGUUAAAAAGCUCGUAGUUGAACCUUGGGUUUGGUUGGCCGGUCCGCUUUUUUGCGAGUACUGGAUUCAACCGAGCCUUUCCUUCUGGCUAACCAGUCGUUUCGGCGGCUGGCGAACCAGGAUUUUUACUUUGAGAAAAUUAGAGUGUUCAAAGCAGGCAUUAGCUUGAAUAUAUUAGCAUGGAAUAAUAGAAUAGGACGUUAUGGUUCCAUUUUGUUGGUUUCUAGGACCAUCGUAAUGAUUAAUAGGGACGGUCGGGGGCAUCAGUAUUCAGUUGUCAGAGGUGAAAUUCUUGGAUUUACUGAAGACUAACUACUGCGAAAGCAUUUGCCAAGGACGUUUUCAUUAA
rnacentral:rRNA from 1 species